GCAUUAAUGGGGUAGUGGUAACCUGGGUCGUUGCCAUAUGGUGUGAACAAUGAUCACUCGACCCGCCGGGGGUUCGAUUCCCUCUUAAUGCA